rnacentral:tRNA from 2 species
ACGGGAAUAGCUCAGUCGGUAGAGCACUGGUCUCCAAAACCAGGUGUCGGGAGUUCGAGUCUCUCUUCCCGUGCCA